GGAGGAGCAGAGCAGGCUCAGUCCAAGAUGUAGCUGCCUUUCUUUCCUCUGGGCCCUGAUCAAGCCUGGAGAGAACAGACCAAGAAGUCACAGCAGCCCAGCACAGACAAAACUGCAAAAACACCA